AUUGAACGCUGGCGGCAUGCCUUACACAUGCAAGUCGAACGGCAGCGCGGACUUCGGUCUGGCGGCGAGUGGCGAACGGGUGAGUAAUACAUCGGAACGUACCCUGUUGUGGGGGAUAACUAGUCGAAAGAUUAGCUAAUACCGCAUACGACCUGAGGGUGAAAGUGGGGGACCGCAAGGCCUCACGCAGCAGGAGCGGCCGAUGUCUGAUUAGCUAGUUGGUGGGGUAAAGGCCCACCAAGGCGACGAUCAGUAGCUGGUCUGAGAGGAGGAUCAGUCACAAUGGGAAGGAGAAACGGCCCAGACGCCUACGGGAGGCAGCAGUGGGGAAUUUUGGACAAUGGGGGCAACCCUGAUCCAGCAAUGCCGCGUGUGUGAAGAAGGCCUUCGGGUUGUAAAGCACUUUUGUCCGGAAAGAAAUCGCGCUGGUUAAUACCUGGCGUGGAUGACGGUACCGGAAGAAUAAGCACCGGCUAACUACGUGCCAGCAGCCGCGGUAA
rnacentral:rRNA from 1 species